CUCCGACUCCUCGCAUGGGGUGUCGGGAAAGAUUUCAUCGGUAUGGGAUGGGGUCGCGUCCUAUCAGGUAGUCGGCGGGGUAACGGCCCACCGAGCCUACGACGGGUAGCCGGCCUGAGAGGGCGACCGGCCACAUUGGGACUGAGAUACGGCCCAGACUCCUACGGGAGGCAGCAGUGGGGAAUAUUGCACAAUGGGCGCAAGCCUGAUGCAGCGACGCCGCGUGCGGGAUGACGGCCUUCGGGUUGUAAACCGCUUUUGAUCGGGAGCAAGCCUUCGGGUGAGUGUACCUUUCGAAUAAGCACCGGCUAACUACGUGCCAGCAGCCGCGGUAGUACGUAGGGUGCAAGCGUUAUCCGGAAUUAUUGGGCGUAAAGGGCUCGUAGGCGGUUCGUCGCGUCCGGUGUGAAAGUCCAUCGCUUAACGGUGGAUCGGCGCCGGGUACGGGCGGG
rnacentral:rRNA from 1 species